GAAUCUCCAAUUUGUGGUUUUGCUUUAAAUUAGUAACAUUAUUCUAAAAUUUGGUGCAGCCAAAUCCUCUAGAAUUCCACACAACUAUAUUCAUAUUUAAAAAUAAUACGGAUUGAGAAGGCAGAGAACCAACAGCUUCCAAUAACAAGCACUACACCUUUAGAAAUGUUGACAGAACGCAUACCUAACAUAUAAAAAUUUGACACAAUCUCCUGACAGAUCAAAUGCUAGGAUACCCAGAAAAUCAAGAACACAGACAACCCUAGAGAUUUGCUGGUACAAAUUAACAAAAUUGUGGAAAGUUACAGAAUUUUGGGAAGAAUUACCAAAUUAUCUCAGAUGGGUUACGAGGCCGCAACCAUCUACAUCAACAAUCGAGGCAGCAGCAGAAAAACAGAGAUCGAAAGAAUGAUUUUCCACCGAUUAGCAGGAGGUCCAGGUUGCUUUCACUGAGGAGAGAGAAAUAAUUGCAGGGUGGAAGAUGGUUAGGAAGACUAGGGGAAUAGAGGGUUAAAGGGCAUGGCGUGAUACUGGAUAGAGGGAAAGGGUAGAUCUGCAGGAGGAAGAGAGAAGGGAUGAAGGUAAACAGGGAAAAAAGGCAAGCAGGAGAGGCUCACAGAUGAGAGCAUUUCACAAACGUGGUACAAGGGUAGCCGAUUGACCUGACACACGGUGUUUUCUUAUAUCCAAAUCUGUAGGACAAGAAGGAGCAUGUAAGGUAUGAACCCUCUUCACACAUCUCGUACCUAAACAUCCAGGUAUCAUUCUGAUUCAUGACUUCCGAUUCCAAGUCGGUAAGCACGCAGUCAGUGGGAACACAUACCAAACACACGGCUGUCCCUAAGCAAUAUAUACAUAUAGAUUGAUCAGAGCAUAUUCUCUGUAUCAUGCUCUUGCAACAUAGCAUAUUCAGUUGAUGAAAUUAAAAUCCAGUGCAAGUCAAGGUUCACGAUUCAUUAAUCUACGAGAAGUAGUAUCGGUACAACUAUACGGGAAAUAUAUAAUCUAGGAGAAGUUGUAUCUCGGUUUUCCUAAGGAGAACUAUCAUUCGGAUCAGUUAAAAGCUCAAAACUAGUAACGAGUUAGCAAAGCUCUUUCUACAUUACAGAACUACAAAUGCGCAGGCAGGACAUAGGAGCGACUCUGGUGUUUCAUAAUCCCUUCAUUUGUUUGCAACUUCACGCCUUAAAAAGGUGGGGGCAAGCAGCUUCUCCAGCUCCACUAAUCUGAAAUUACAUGUACAUAAUUGGUAAACAAGCAGAAAUGUGUUCUGGAGCAUAAAAUGUAGCACCAAACAUCAAUCGUUGACUUA